rnacentral:rRNA from 1 species
AUUGAACGCUGGCGGCAUGCUUUACACAUGCAAGUCGAGCGGCAGCACGGGGGCAACCCUGGCGGCGAGCGGCGAACGGGUGAGUAAUACAUCGGAACAUGCCCAGUCGGGGGGGAUAACACGUCGAGAGAAGUGCUAAUAGCGCAUACGUCCUGAGGGAGAAAGCGGGGGAUCGCAAGACCUCGCGCGAUUGGAGUGGCCGAUGUCAGAUUAGCGAGUGGGUGGGGUAAAGGCCUACCAAGGCAACGAUCUGUAGCUGGUCUGAGAGGAUGAUCAGCCACACUGGGACUGAGACACGGCCCAGACUCCUACGGGAGGCAGCAGUGGGGAAUUUUGGACAAUGGGGGCAACCCUGAUCCAGCCAUUCCGCGUGAGUGAAGAAGGCCUUCGGGUUGUAAAGCUCUUUCGGCAGGAACGAAACGGUGAGCUCUAACAUAGCUUGCUAAUGACGGUACCUGAAGAAGAAGCACCGGCUAACUACGUGCCAGCCGCCGCCGUAAAAC